UCUGGUGCCAGCAGCCGCGGUAAUUCCAGCUCCAAUAGCGUAUAUUAAAGUUGUUGCAGUUAAAAAGCUCGUAGUUGAACCUUGGGCUUGGUUGGCCGGUCCGCCUUUUUGGCGAGUACUGGACCCAACCGAGCCUUUCCUUCUGGCUAACCUUUCGCCCUUGUGGUGUUUGGCGAACCAGGACUUUUACUUUGAAAAAAUUAGAGUGUUCAAAGCAGGCCUUUGCUCGAAUAUAUUAGCAUGGAAUAAUAGAAUAGGACGUUAUGGUUCUAUUUUGUUGGUUUCUAGGACCAUCGUAAUGAUUAAUAGGGACGGUCGGGGGCAUCAGUAUUCAGUUGUCAGAGGUGAAAUUCUUGGAUUUACUGAAGACUAACUACUGCGAAAGCAUUUGCCAAGGACGUU
rnacentral:rRNA from 14 species